ACAUAAUGUCUAAAUAUCCCAAAGACAUCAGAUCCUGUCUGAUCUUGGAAGCUAAGCAGGGUCUGUUCUGUUACUACUUGGAUGGAAGACUGUUAAUGAAUAGCAGGUACUGUAAGCU
rnacentral:rRNA from 11 species